UUUUAAAGGCCAGCCCCUAAAUUAACAUCAUCACAUGAGGGCCUGGGGAUGCCAACCAGCUGCUCUUCAGAGCAUGCAAGCCAGCGCCACAAGGAAAGACAGCAGGCUGUUAAAACUUCUCAUGAGAUUGUAGCAGUUUCAGAACUGUGUAUUGAGAAUAGUUCCACAGGAUGGCAACAUAUGUUACGUGAAACAAAGUGCUCCGGAGUCAGAUAAGGUCAUGAGACCUUGUAAACCAAGUUCAGCGGUGACAUUCUUCUGCAGGACUUCUCCGAGCAUCUCUUAGGAGGAGACGGUAGGAUUCGCCCAUUUUUAACCGUAGCAUCCUGUGUUUUUCAGAUUACCUCCUGGGACUUUUCAGAAAUGCCUCAUCCCAAGGGACGCUCCAGGAGUCUAGAACUGCCCAUCCCAGGUCAACUGGGAAGAAGGAAGAGAAGGAAAGACAAGACAAGAAAAGAACGUACAACCUGCAAAUAAUAGUAAGGGAGUAAGUGGAAAUAUGAAAUAAAUACUGAUGUGCCUGCCCCAUCUGGUCACACAGUGCUUUGAAGAAAGGCCCUUCCUCUGGGGAAAAUGACAAGAAUUCAGCCUUCAUCAUAAAUGCUGGAGAAUAAGACAGACCUGUUCACUUCCCCUUCGGCAUGUGACGUUUGGAACACAGAUUUACAUGAGGAACAGGAAAAGAUCAUCUUGGGCUCCUGCUGCUGCUGUCCAGCUUCCCUGGCUCUGUGCGAAGAGUGUCCUCCCACGGGACCUGGACGUCCCACCUUUGAGAGAGAUGUGCACACACCGUGACCCAAGAGCAGGUCCUUGGGGCCAGAAGGAGCCUCCACUGUCAGCACAAGAGCAUCACCGCCAAGUCAGACAGCUUCUUGGAGCUACACCUUUCCCAAGAUUUCUGUUUAAAGAUUUAAGUGGUCAUUUCCAGACGUAAUGCAUCAACUGAAGUUUUGACAUUGGGACCUGCCUGCCAAACCAAGCUGUACUGGUCAAGUGGUCAUCUCAGAAUGGUGCUGGGUUUUGCCUGGAGCUUGGAGAUGCCAUCUCUAAUCUACAGCCCUGUCAUGAAUUUGUUUUUUUGUCAUAAAUGAAACAUGGGGCUGGGCUUUAAUUUUCCUCACUGCCCUCUGUCAAGUAAUAACCAUAAAUAUUGUCCUGAAUCAUUAAGUCACAACCUGAAACGUGAUCCUGCCCAGCUCCCAAUCAGACGGCCAUCUGGAAGAUGAAAGAAGUCUAUUUGGGUUUCGGAAUGAUCCAGACUCUAAUUUGUAGUAACAGUCUUAACAGGCUGUUUCAGAGACAUUAACCAGUAACUUGUCUCAGAUUCUCAAGGAAGGUCCAUUAUCCACAGUUGGAGGUAUUUGCUUCAAGCAGAACCAUGAAUUGUAACUGUUGGAAAACUACCAGGCUCGCUGGCUUUCAAUCAAAUGCCAUAUUCUUCCAUGGACACUAGAUUUUUACCCAAGGGCAAGAAUAUAUGCACAGAGCAGAUGCAUACAUAAUAUAUCUCCAAUAUUCUCUAUUUCAUAAGGAAAGCAAACAUUUCAAGAAAGGAAAACAAAUUGCAGCUUCAGCAAGCAAACAGCAAAGCAACAUGAUAGAUAUAUAAUUUUUCCUAUCACCCUGAGGUUACUUUUGCAGAGAAAAAUAAAUUGUACUCUUAUUUUGCUGUAGAAAUAAUCUUGUAAACACAAAGAGAAAGUCAUUAUCUAAAGUCUGGAAACAUAUGCUUAAACAUGAGUACACCACUGAUCAAAGGCAUCAAGCAAUUGCUUUAAAUAUCUGACUUUCCUGGUCAUUAGAGAAGCAAGCACUAUCCCUAGGAGAUGCCUCUCCAUUUCCACUUGACUUUGGACUGGAAGACCAAAGAGAGAAAACAACGGAGGAGAUCAUGUUUCUUCUCUGAGUUAUACAAAGCAUCACUCUCCCCAUGGGAGGGUGUUCAGUUUAAUUUCCGAACAUUGCAAAUACACUUAAAAACGCAAUGAAUGUAUUUAUUUAUAAAUGCAUGAAGUAAAUGAUGUUUCGACAAGGAGUGUGUCGAUGGCGACUUGGAGCAGAACUAAACCCACACUGACGGUCACGAGGGUGGUUAUGUUUCGCACCAUCAGGGAGGAAAACUCCAUCCCAAAUUUUAGCAACAAAAAUCUGUUUCCUUUGCCUCAAAAUUUGUUCAGCACCUCUCAAUUUUAGUAAUUAAAAAUAUGUAUUAAUUAUUCAUAAAAAGUAAA